AGUGAACGCUGGCGGCAGGCCUAAUACAUGCAAGUCGAACGGCAGCACAGCAGAGCUUGCUCUGUGGGUGGCGAGUGGCGGACGGGUGAGGAAUACGUGGGAAUCUGCCCAGUCGUGGGGGAUAACGUAGGGAAACUUACGCUAAUACCGCAUGCGCCCUUCGGGGGAAAGCCGGGGACCUUCGGGCCUGGCGCGAUUGGAUGAGCCCACGUCGGAUUAGCUAGUUGGCGGGGUAAAGGCCCACCAAGGCGACGAUCCGUAGCUGGUCUGAGAGGAUGAUCAGCCACACUGGAACUGAGCCACGGUCCAGACUCCUACGGGAGGCAGCAGUAGGGAAUAUUGGACAAUGGGCGCAAGCCUGAUCCAGCCAUGCCGCGUGAGUGAAGAAGGCCCUCGGGUUGUAAAGCUCUUUUGUCCGGAAAGAAAAGCGCCGGGUUAAUACCCUGGUGUCCUGACGGUACCGGAAGAAUAAGCACCGGCUAACUUCGUGCCAGCCGCCGCCGUAAUAC
rnacentral:rRNA from 1 species